rnacentral:lncRNA from 1 species
ACCGGUUUACAAAUAACUACUCGACCCGUAAACUGGUAAUCCUAUUAAGAGGGAAUCUUAACGGCCCUGCAAAUUAGUAAUUCAUCUAGACUACACGUGUUAUAUUCUUACAUAUGCAUUAUUCAAUAUUUAUACACUCUCGAAACUGCUAGCAACCCAUCUAACAUAUCUUUCUGCAAUUUUAUAUAAACAAACUGCAUUUAUAUUCUUGAAAGUUCUGUGAGUUGCAAAUUAGAAGACUGAAAAUCAGUGAUUUUUUUUUUUUAAUUCUUGGAAAAGAGAGUAGGAAAUCAAGGACGCUGGCAGUGUUUGAUAAAGCAGUGGCAAAGGGCUCUGAAGCUUUUUCGAAUUUAAACACUGAUUCUGCUCCAUUUUCGGCAUUGAAAGAUGGGUCUUUCGUCAAAUAUUUCAAUUCUGUUCAACCUGAUUCUUUGUCAUUGAAUUUUGGCUCAUCUGGUUUCAUUGUUAGCUCUUCUAACAAGCAGAUCCCGUUGGAAUUUCCAAUUAAGAGAAUCCCAAAUCCUCUUGGAACAAAUUUGGAAACUCCAAGAUUGAUGGUCCAAGUUGAACCAAUCUCGCCCCAUUCCAAUUCUUGUCUUGAUUUUCUGACGACAUUAGAGGUGUUUGAUGGAAACUCGGCUAUAAAUUCUCGGCUAUAAAUUCCCAUUUUGGUCCCCGAGCUCCACACACCCGAAAUACAGUUUACACCAUCACAUAAAGUGUGCUGAGAGCCUAGAAGAACCAUUACCUGGAGCAAGAAGCUUUCUCAGAUACAUCAAUGGUUGGAGGUACGAUUUUUGAUCCGCAAGAUUGUUGAUUUCUCGAUCCAAUUUGUUUCAACAUACUUGUUUAGGAUCGAGUUUGAGUCUUACAUUUAACAGCUUCAUAUUACCUCUACCUUGGUGUUUCACCGUUAAUCUGUAAAAAGCUAUCUUCUCUGACCAAUUUAUUUUCUGAAAAAUAAAUUCUAAUAUGUCCAUAAAAUUGAUUUUAUAGCCUCUAUGUGAUUUUAAACUUGAGUUUUGAUGGAGAGAAGGUUUAAUUUGAGGAGGUUCAGAAUCGAGGGAUUGAAGACGUUCUCUGGUUUUGAUUAACGUACAGAGACCAAUUUUCUGUGUCGGAGCCAAUUGACGAUGAUGCUCGUUAGUUGGCCAUUAAUUAUUGUGCCAUUUGAAAAUCAUUGGUUUUAAUUUAUCCAUUGGGCUAAUUGAAAACAUAUAAAAUUAGAUAUUGAUCAUGUUCCAGAAUUUUUAAUUGGGCCGAUUUUAUUUUUAUUAUUAUUAUUAUUAUUAUUAUUAUUAUUAUUAUUAUGAAUGUUAUUUGGACUUUUAGACACAUCCACUUAUCUAUUAGGCCUAUUAAUUCUUGGACAUGAAUUUUAUUGGGGAUACAAUUUAAGUAUGUGAUAAGUUCAUUAGGCUAUAAUUAUUAUUGGCCCAUUUGAUUAUCAUAAUUAAUCAAUUGUUCACUGGGUCUUUUGGAGAAUUACUGUUAUUGGGUCUGUCAUUUACAUGAUGCUUACUUAAAUAUUUAUGCAAUUUUUUAUUGCUAACCUUAUAGAAUUCAAUCAUACAAUUUUAUUUAUGAGCCAGUUAUGCAAAAUUUAAUAUUUUAAUCUUGCAUAUGUUAAUUAUUUAUUUUGAAAUAAUACAAUUUUAUGAUGAAUUGUGCUUAUAUUUAGUUUGGAUGAGUUGGUUAUGUUUAAAUUAUUUAUGCAAUUUAUAACGAUUAUGAAUUAGACUUAUUCUCAUAUUAAGUUAAUCGUUUAUGCAUAAAACAUUUUUAAUGUCUAGUGAUCCAAAAAUUUUAAUUAACUAGGGAGUAGCCACAACAUCUUUAAUUAAGUAAAAUUAUAUAUUAUGCUUGUUUAGGAUCACAUAAAGAGUUGUAGACAGUAAAUUGGAAUUAAUUAUAAAUAUGAUAAAUUUUUCCCACGGGAAUUUUUAUUAUAUUCAUAUAAUUAAUUAGGAUAAGAUGUCAUGUUACCCUUUUUUCACAAUAUACCCACAUGAAUUAUGGAUUAGGAUAUAAUUUGAUAGUCUUAUCAUAGAGUUUAGGAUAGAAUAUCAGAUUAUGAUCAUAAUAUACCCACUAACUAUGGAUUAAGUACAUGAUUUGAUAAUUCUAUCAAUUAAUAUAAAAAAUCUACUUGAAUUAAAAAUUUAGCCCAUAGGCAAUUUUGUAUGUUAAUAGAUUCGAAUUUAAACAUGAUUUACAUUGGUAAAGCAUGAAAUUUAAUUAAGUCUUAGUUUUAAUAUAAGCAUAUAAUUUAUGCAGGUGGUCAACCUGCAAAUUUUUCUGAUAUUCGUUGCGAUGUUCCCGAACUUAAGGGUGAUAAUUAUAAAGUAUGGAAGGAGAGAAUUUUACUCAAUCUAGGAUAGAUGGACAUUGACUAUGCAAUUAGGAAAGACGAACCACUUGUACUUGCUGCGACUAAUACUCCAAAUGAAGUUGCUCUUUAACUAUGGGAAUGAUCCAAUCACCUCAGUGUGAUGUUCAUAAAGAUAAAUAUCUCAGCUAAUAUACGUGGUUCUGUUGAUCACCAUGAGAAAGUCCGUGAUUUGCUAAAGGCCAUAGAUGAUCAAUUCAUCACUUUAGAUAAGGCACUCACAAGCACCUGUAAGAGGUGUACGCGAGCACAUCAUGCAAAUAAGAGAUAUUGCGGCUCAAUUGAAGAACCUCGAGGUUGAGAUGUCAGAAUCCUUCCGGGUGCACUAUAUCCUGAAUUCUCUCCAGCCUCAAUACGGGCCUUUCAAGAUCUCGUACAACACGCAUAAAGACAAAUAGUCAAUUAAUAAACUCAUGACCAUAUGUGUUCAAGAGGAAGGAAGGCUUGUAAUGGAAUUGGGAGAAAAUGCAAUGCUGGUAACGCGGGGAAAGGAUAGAGCUCAAGCCAAUGAGAAGGGAAAAGGUAAAAUACCUACUCAAGCUAACAUUAAGAAGGAAUCUUUGUGUUUCUUCUGUAAGAAGAAGGGAAACAUAAAGAAGAAAUGCGCUAAAUUUCAGAAAUGACUUGAGAAUAAAGCUAAUUCAAUCUCAUUUGUUUGCUAUAAAUCUAAUAUGGUUAAUGUUAUGUAGAACACGUGGUGGAUUGAUUCUGGUUCUACAAUCCAUAUUUCGAAUACCUUGCAGGGUAUGCAAAAUCUAAGGAAGCCAGUGGAAAGUGAGCAAGGCAUCUAUUCAGGAAACAAGAUGCAUUCACAUGUGGAGUCCAUUGGAACAUGUAGUUUAACUUUAAGUAGUGGUUUUAUUUUAGAGUUGGAAAAGAUAUUUUAUAUUCCAAGUUUCUCCACCUUUCGAUUAUUCCUUUAAUUUUUCAUAAUUGACUUUCAGUUUAUUUUAUAAAUCUGAUCUUGCUGGGAAUGAUACAUUGUCUCAUAGUCUUCUCUCUCUCAAUUUGCAAAAUAACACCACUUAUAAUGCUAUACAUGUUCACACUGGUAUUAAACGAUGUGUUAUGAAUUAGGAUUCCUCUAAAUUAUGGUACCGGAGAUUGGGACAUAUCCUCCAUAGAGCGAAAUAAGAUAUUAGUAAAUGAUGGGGUACUUAAUGCUCUUGAUUUUACUGAUUUUGAAACUUGUGUAGACUGCAUUAAGGGAAAGCAUACCAACAAGUCAAAGAUGGGCGUCAAUAAGAGUUUGAACAUAUUAGAAAUCAUAAAUACUGAUAUAUGUAAUCCAAACAUGGAUUCACAUGGUCAGAGAUACUUCAUCUCUUUUAUAGAUGACUACUCACGAUGCAUGUAUAUUUACUUGCUUCAUAACAAGAACGAAGUAUUAAAUGCCUUUAAGAUUUUUAAGGCUAAAGUAGAGAAACAAUGUUGAAAGCAAAUUAAGAUUGUGAGAUCAUCAGAUAGAGAUGGAGAAUAUUAUGGUAGAUACGCAGAGGAUGGACAAGUACAUGGUCCAUUUGCAAAGUUUUUUCAAGAGAAUGUGAUAGUUUCCCAAUACACCAUGCCUGGUUCACCAGACCAGGAUGGUGUAGUAGAAAGAAAAAAUAGAACAUUAUUGGACAUGGUACGGAGCCUGCAUAGUAGCUCCAAUCUUCUUAGAUUCUUGUGGACUGAAGCACUUAAGAUGGUUGUGUUUAUAUUAAACCAAGUUCCAACUAAAGCUGUCCUAAAUAUACCAUUUGAAUGAUUGAAAGGUUGGAAAUCGAGUUUGUGACAUAUGCGCGUUUGGGGAUGCCCGUCUAAAGUAGGAGUUUAUAAUCCACAAGAGAAAAAACUAGACCCAAGGACUAUUAGUGAGUAUUUCAUUGAACACACCGAAAGGUCAAAAGGGUACAGAUUCUAUUGUCCAUCUAAUAGCACUAGGAUUGUGGAGUCAAGAAAUGCGAAGUUUCUUGAGAAUGACUUGAUUAGUGGGAGCGAUCAAGUCAGGAACAUAGUUUCUAAGAAUGAUAAUUUAGGAUCUCAACCUUCCACCUCAAGUAAUAGAUUGGUUAUUGUUCACAGCACCCCUCAAGUAUAAACUGGUAUAGAACAACCAAUAGUUGAAGUUCCACAAGUUGCUAACAACGUCUUAGUAGAUUAGGUAAUUCAAGAGUUGCCAAGGACUUUUGAAAAACCAGUUGAACCACGUUCUUCUCAGGAAGAUAAUGGAAGGAUAUUAAGAAGAUCUACUAGAACAAAGAGAUUAGCGAUUCCUAGUGAUUAUUUUGUAUAUCUACAAGAAUCUGACUAAAACAUUGGUGCCAUAAAUGAUCUUGAGUCUUUUUCACAAGCCAUGAGUUGCAAAGAAUUAAAAUUAUGGUACAGUAUACACCAAAUGAGGAGAUGAGUUCUAUGAAGAGUAACGAAGUAUGGAGUCUUGUUGAGUUGCCUGAUGAUGCAACAUUGAGAGAUAUAAGGUGUGAUUCGUUGCUAAGGGAUUCACUCAAGAAGAAGGAAUGGAUUACACGGAGACCUUUUCUCUUGUAUCUAAGAAAGAUUCCUUACGCAUCAUUUUUGCAUUAGUAACCCAUUUUGACUUAGAAUUACAACAAAUGGAUGUGAAAAUGCAUUUCUCAAUGGAGAUUUAGAGGAGGAGGUUUACAUGAAACAAUCUGAAUGAUUCCUCUCUAGUGAUGGUGAGCAUUUAGUCUGCAAGCUCAAGAAAACCAUAUACGGCUUAAAACAAGCAUCCCGUCAAUGGUAUUUCGAAUUUCAUGAUGUAAUUUCUUCAUUUGGGUUUGCAGAAAACAUCAUGGAUCAAUUUAUAUACUAGAAUGUCGGUGGAAGUAAGAUCUGUUUCCUUAUUUUAUAUGUGGACGAGAUUCUACUUGCGACCAAUGAUAAGGAUUUGCUACAUGAAGUGAAACAAUUUCUCUUUAAAAAUUUUGACAUGAAAGAUAUGGGAGAGGCAUAUUAUGUCAUUGACAUUAAGAUCCAUAGAGACAGAUUUAAAGGUAUUUUAGGUUUGUCUCAAGAAACCUAUAUUAAUAAAGUUUUAGAGAGAUUUCGGAUAAAAGAUUGUUCACCAAGUACAGCUCCCAUUGUUAAAGGUGAUAAAUUCAAUUUGAAUCAAUGCCCGAAAAAUAAUUUUGAAUGGAAACAAAUGAAGAACAUUCCAUAUUCUUCUGCUGUUGGAAGCCUGAUGUAUGCUUAGGUCUGCACACGACCUGAUAUUGUAUUUGUUGUGGAAAUGUUGGGAUGAUAUCAAAGUAAUCUAGGUAUAGACCACUGGAGAGCUGCAAAGAAAGUAAUAAGGUACCUUCAAGGAACAAAUGUCUACAAGCUUAUGUAUAGACAAAUGGACAAUUUGGAAAUAAUUGGCUACUCAGAUUCAGACUUUGCUAGUUAUGUUGAUCACACAAAUCAACAUCGGGAUAUAUCUUUAUGAUGGCCAAUGGGGCUGUAUCUUGGAAGAGUUCUAAGCAGAUCUUGAUUGCUACUUUCACUAGCUGAGUUCGUUUCUUGUUUUGAGGCUACUUCACAUGGUGUAUAGUUAAAGAGUUUCAUAUCUGGGUUUAGAAUCAUGGAUUCUAUUUUAAGGCCAUUGAGAAUAUACUGCGACAAUUCAGCUGUUGUCCUUAUGGCUAGGAAUAACAAAUGUGGAAGUCGAAGUAAGCACAUCGACAUCAAGUAUUUAGCCAUAAGUGAAUGUAUUAAGGAAAAGAAAGUGGUCAUUGAGCACGUCAUCACUGCUUUGAUGAUCGUUGAUCCUUUGACUAAGGACAUGUCACCAUUGAAAUUCAAGGAUCAUGUAGUGUCAAUGGGACUUGGUUCCAUUAUGUAAUUUUUAUUGUCUGAACAAGAUUAUUUUAAUGAAAUUCUUAUUUAUUGUGAUAUUUUCUCAUUUCAUGCGCUCUUUAAUAUAUUUGAGAAAAUAUAUUUUUCUAGGACCAAGAAUAAACAUAAGUUUUAUUCAUUAAGUAAAAGUUGCCCCAUAAAAAAUAAUACUUCGAAAAUUAGAUACAUUGUAAUACAUGGAAGGUAAGAAUCAUUAUUAGAGAACUUACUGUCAUGAUUCAUGUAUUUGUUUCUUAAAGAUUUUAUUGAAUGGGAUUAAGUUAAGAGAUUAAGUUAAACGUGUAGACCAAGUGGGAGAAUGUUGGAAUUUCCAAUUAAGAGAAUUCCAAAUCCUCCGGGAACGAAUUUGGAAACUCUAAGAUUGAUGGUCCGAGUUGAAUCAAUCUCGCCCCAUUUCAUUUCUUGUCCUGAUUUUCUGGCGACAUUAGAGGUCUAGCCAUAAAGAGUUUGAUGGAAACUCGGCUAUAAAUUCCCAUUUCGGUCCCCAAGCUCCACAUACCCGAAAUACAGUAGACACUAUCACAUAAAGUGUGCUAAGAGCCUGGAAGAACCAUUACCUAGAGCGAAAAGCUUUCUGAGAUACAUCAAUGGCCGGAGGUACGAUUUUCGAUCCACAAGAUUUUUGAUUUCUCGAUCCAACUUGUUUCUGCAUACUUGUUUAGGAUCAAGUUUGAGUCUUACAGAUCCCACUUCUUCCUAGGGACAUUUUGUACUCUGAAUCUUCAUAACCUGUAUAUAAUUUUUUUCUCUUUUUCAAUUUUUAGUGGAAAUUCUGAAAUCCUGAAUAUGAAGAUAAUAGUUCUCUUCUAUUUAUUUCUGCCAUCAUUUCUCUUUUGGCGUGAUUAAUCGAAUGUAGUUUUACCCUUUCUUAAAUUGAUCAAUAUAAGUACUUGUGGUAUCCAUAGAACCCAACCCACUUACAUUAAUAACAAAAUUGAAGAACAAGAAGGUAAGGAAUGAAAAUAGGAACCUCCCUGAAAUGGAAGAUAUGAAAUAAAAUAUUAGAAUGCUUAUGUGUGGUUUGGGGGGGGGAAGGAGGUUUCACUGGGUUUCUAAUUCUGCAUAUUAAGACAGUAAAGAACAAAAGGAAAAGGUUUGUGUGACUCACACCUAAGAAAAAUGAGUCAGUGAAAGGGAGAGAGGUUUGUGGACAAGUAAAUAAAAUUUUUUUGGGGUUUCCAAGUUUGUAUAGUGAUCAAUGAUAUCUGAGUAGCACUUACAUAAUUCCUUUUAAGUUUUGGAGAUGAUAUACUUGUGUUAAACGGUUUCACAAUUGUAGAUAUGGCUCUUAGAAGUCUACAGUGGGUAAUUUGAAUACUCGAAGUGGUACAGCAUUUCAUGCCUCUAUAUUGCAGAAAUGUUAAUUUGACCACAAGCUGAAUAAAAUUAUAUUACUAAAGCUUGCAAACGAGUCUUGUAUAUGAAGUUCCUGCAAAAAUUGGGUCAGAAACAAAAAAAAAAAAAAAAAUGUUUUACAAAUAUUAUGAGGUCAAUCCACCUGACUAAGCACUCUGCCUCUCAUUUAUGGUCUAUACAUGUUAUUGUGAAGAAUAGCAUCUUAGAUAUAGGGAAACACUAUAAUAGAUGUGAACAAGCUAUUAUUUACAAGAGCGACGUGAUCCUUAUAAAACAAGUUUGAAGAGAAAGUAGUAGACCAAACUUAUCACAUGGCCAAGUAUAGUUGCAAAGAAUCAAUUUCGGUGGAUGUUUUAGCAGAUAUAAGAUUUACAUUCUUGUUAAUAUAUAUUUACAUCUUUUUUAAGGGCGUGGGAGGAGGGUUCGAGUUAAAGUGUAGGGUGUCUACGGUGAAUAGUGUACUACCCGUGCAUUGUAGUACAAUUAAAUUUGUUCUUCUAAUAAAAUCCACCAUGCUUUUGAGUUUGGGAUGUUGCCAGUUAUCUCUGAUAAUGUCAUUGAUUAGCUGUUAGUUUUCUGCAAUCCUUUUCUGUUUCUUUUAGAUCUAUUCAUUUUAUUUUAGUAAUGUUUUACCCUGCAAUUAGAAUUAUGAAAGAAUCAAUGACUAAUUUCAAAUUCUUUUUUCCAUGAUCUGGAGUUCCAAAUAGCUAUCGACAAAAUUGUUAUUCCGAAUUUUCACUGACAGUUUUAAUUGUUGUUGCUAUGCUAGGCUUCUCUCUGCCAUGGAUGACAUUUUCUGUUUGUUCCAAGGGAAUAUUGAGAAGAUAGCUCCCCUGAAGCAGCAAUAUGGGGUAGACAAUGACUGCUAACGAAGUUAGCAUUGCAAUAGAGGCUUACUGAACCCUACGGGACAGAGAUCCUUAUCCUAGUGACCAUGUUGUGUGAGACAUCAAUGGAAAGUUUGCACUCGUACUGUAUGACAGAACCUCCAGGUCUAUUAGCUGCUGGGGUGUGUUCUUUGGCUUGAUUCUUAUUGUCAUUGGUAGGAAAAUUUUGAUUAAGACCAUAAUUAUCAAAGCCGCUGUCAUUUGGGAUCUUCAAAACUUGGUCUUAUCUUGUAUGUGCUGGAAGCAUUUAUACAUCCAUGACGGUGCAGAUGGAUUCUAACAAUAAUCUUGUUACCUCUGAUGAUGAAGUGUUUGUGCAGAAGGCAUGUGGGAAAUCCUUCGCACCAUUUCCAAAAGAUACAAAACAUUAAAGAGAAACGUGAUGCUAAACUUAGCAGUUUAUCAUCCCUGCAAAAUAGAUAUUUGCACUUAAUCCCUCCAAUAACUGUCUUUCUAGAUCAGACCAUGUGGUUUACCAGACCUAUUACGAGUUUAGGGCAGGUCGGUGGUGCUAUUUUCAUCCAGAAAGGAACCUGGAAUUCCUAGAGUUGGGAGUGCUUCAAAUUGGUCGUCUCAUUCUCAAUAUUGAUAGAAAACAUUUUCUGAGGUGGAAAGGUUCUAUUUUCUGGAUAGUUCCUUAUAUUUCUCCUGUUGUUCUAUUACUUUAUUGAUAUUAUCAUGCAGUAUAACUGUGACUAGAAAGACGGAUGCAAGUUUAUGAAUAUAGCAUGCAUAUUGUUUCACAUCAGUUGUACUAUUGAAUGAACAGCAAUGCUUUUCAUCCAAUUAUUAUAAAUGAUAUUGUCCAUGGUGUCGUUGUUACAAAAUUAUGACUAAUGCUAGUGCUCUUGCUCACAAACCUGUUGUCACGAGCUGAACGUCAUGUGAGCUCUUACUUCAAGUCUUACGAUUAGUGCUGGUGUUCAGUGACCUAAUUACUCCUGCAAGAAAUUUAUAUGAAGCAGCGGUUAUGUAUUAGCCUUGUAGAUAAGUGUUCUUAUACCAUUUCAGCUUGUUCCCAAGAUUCAUUUUCAUUUACUAACGCAUAAUCUUGUUUGCUUAACGAGCUUUUCUAGUAAAAAAAUUUCUCCCAUCUCUUUGAUGUUCUGAUAGCCGAAAACUGAGAUUCUGUUUAGUGGAAUCAACCGUUUAAAGUGACAAAAUCAGGCCUUUGAAUCUUGUAAAGGAAGUUUACAGCCAUACCUAGUUUAAAUACUUCAACGAAAAGGAAGACAAUUUCCUUUUAAAGAGUCUCAGCAUUUUGUUGUUAAAACCCAUGUAGUCCUCUUCACCAGCAAUUGCUUUCGAAAUUGUUCAUUUCUGCAGCAUCAUAUAUUUAAUACUGUCAGGCGAGCGCCUUUCCAUAGUAACUAGGAUCCCUGUUUUGAGAAAUUUACUUCGUCUGCUAAAUGGGAAUUAUGACCAGGAAACUAAUUUAUCACUUCGUGUCUUCGCCAGUUAGCCUAGUGGUGUUGCACUCAGCAGUAAUAUAAACCUUGUGAUAUGAUCUUUGCCAACAUUUGCAUAAGUUUAGCUUUGGUUGGGAUAUAAAUUUACAUUUAUGAGUACAACUUAUUAUUAUCAACACAUUUUGUGGGAUACACUGUUAUUUCUCUUAUAAUUCAUAUUUAUAAAUCAUUUAUAGAUUUGUCAAACGGAGACAACACAGUACAAGAGGAUUGUCCGAAUGAUGUCCAAAUAUUGUUGUAUUUCUUGUGCAAUUCAGCUCGAAUACUUAGUUUGGUAGUGAGUUAGUCAAAUAGAGCGUCCACGAGAGUAAACUUGCAAUCUUUUGGUUCGAAUAACUGAGAACAGAAGAUUGAGAACUUGCAUUUGCAAUAUCUUUUGGUAGCAUCAUCUGCAUGUCAAAUGUUUAGUAACACUACAUAGACCUCCAACUUCAGGCAAUAAGUCUUCUGUUUAUAGUUGUCUUUCUCUCAGACAUAGCUCGAACCUAAUUUCUCUUCGGGUCUGGGAUUUGUAUAUAUACGUUGCUUGAUACUUCUUUUUUGUAUAUGUCAGUACAUAGUGUUGGGUAGGCAGUUUUAACUUCAUUUUCUUGUUUAGUUCUUUCUAAUCCUCGAUGUCAAACACAUCAUUUCAAGCAGUACGGCACAAUUAUGAAGGCUUAUUACAAUCACAUGUUUGCAUAGUGCAAAGCAGUACAUGUUUAGAGAGGGGGGAUGACCACACUUUUCGAAAGUUUAUAAUUUUGUCCUGCAAUAAUAGAGAUUAUGUUUGGCAUUCAGAGAAAAGGUAUAUUCUUGAUGAAGGUGACAUUAAUUCAAUUUAGUGAAGCAUAUUGGUGAGGACACUUGACUUUGACUGAUAGAACAUAUCUAGUUCCUGUUUGGUAGAGAUUAAAAUUCGAUUUCAAGUAGAUUUUGAUAAAAGUUAAUGAUAUGUUCAAUUGAAAAGUUGUGAAUCCUAUGAAAUGAGUGGUAAAAAUUAAUUAUUGAUUUUGACUUAGAUUUUAAUAAGAUUUUUUAGCACUUCCAAACAGGGGCUAGUCUCAUGUAUAUGUGUAUUUUCAUACCUAUCUCCAAUGUAUAUAUGUGUUUUUUUCUUGUUCUUGCUUUUCUUAUGUGGCUGAAGAAUUCAGCAUACCAAUGAAAUUUGUGGAUAAAAGGCUAAGUGCAUGUUUGGAAAGUGACUAUAAUUGGUAUAAACUAUGUGGAGAUAGAAAUGAAUGACGAAUAUGUAGUACUUGUAAAUCUCACUUAUUUGUGGGUAAAAAAUACUUUUGACCGAUGAUGAACUGUGUCAAACAAGUUUCAUCUACCUUUUUUUCUUGUUAUAAGAUAUUGUCGGGGAUUUGUUCUUGGAAAGUAUUCAAUAUUCACUUCUCAUUGACCCUUGUUUGAGCCCCAUUUUGGGCAAAAAAAAUAUGUUUUGGAGAAUGUGCGGUUUAAAAAUAUGAAAAAAAUUUCGAUUUACGUAUAAAAUUAUUUUAAUGGAGAAUGUGUAAUUAAAAAUGAGUUUUGAAAAAACGAGUUCAAGUUCCUGAUGAAAUGGGGCUCAAACUAUAUUUGGAGGGAGAACUUUCUCUGUAGUUUUCAACUUUCUUCUCCCUUUUUGGUUAAUAACUAGUUCUUGUGCUGGAUUUUUCUUUUUAAUUUGUUUUCUUCCAGAAUGGGGACUUUGUUGUUUUGUGUGGGGACAAAAUGCGCAAAAACCCAGAUAACGAAAGGAUCUGAUAAAGGGCAUAUUUGACCCAAUUAACAAAUUUACUUAUAUUGACCCCUCCUUGAUUGCUUUUCCAGUGGUGACUUUCUUUCGAAGCAUAAAGAACGGAUGUGGUUAAAUGCCCGCCAAAAGAGUUCAUAUAACGUGCUAGACAAUUGGCAUAACGAAUAAUUGGACCACCAAUUGGUAAAAAGUAUUGUGAAAACUUGACAGGAGCCCCUCUACAAUCUAAAAAAGAUAAUUGAUUCUCAUUUUUUUUUUUAAGAAAUACCUCAAUUAAUUACAAUUUACGUCAACCAACACAAUUUAAAGGACAUCAUCAUCCUAGAAUCAAUACAUUCAACAGUCUCUCAUCAUCAGUGUCGUCGCUACCUUGCACCACCUACAAGAAGAUUACCAUUUCAUCCACCAAUGCUAUUAGAUCGCCGCCAUCGUUGUGAUUAGAUAAUGCCACUAUCUUCAUCAUAAUGCCACUUUCGAUCUGUGGUGAUUAUGUUGUUCAAAACCAACAACAAUUAAAAUAAAAUAAAAUAAAAUAAAAAGAGGUCCAUGGUCGUAUGCCGAGACCAUUUGGUCUCGGCAUGGGUGAACCAUGCGGUCGCAUGGUACUAUUUUUUAACCGUUGGAGGCCGUUUUCUCCCGUUGUAAAUUUAAAUUUGGUGACUUUUAGCUUAAAGUUGGAUACCAUUUCGUAAAUGCAGUGUAUGCCUAUACAUAUUGGAUCCAUGUUGAAGGCAAAAACAUCAACAAAACAUCAAGAUUCUAUAUUACUUCCAAAAUCAAAGAUCAAAAUCUUUAAAAGUCAAAUUCAUAUUCAUUCUUUGUGUUCAAGUUUUCUAGGAUUUGCACUUAUGCUUUGGUGCUUAAAUUCUUGCAAGGCUUGUUAUAAUCCUGCCAACAACCUUUGAAGUAUCUCAAAUUAAUAGGAGAAGGGGCAAAUAUCUUUUAAGGACAACGAUAUCGUGUUCAGUCAUUCGUUGAUACAAAAUCGUGAUUAUCUUGUUAUUGGCAUUUUAGGUUCAUAUUUUGUUAUUUCUACUCAAAUUCGGUGAAAUUUCUCCAACAACCUUAAACGAUAUUUUUGCAAUGGAAAGUGAGACAACAAUGGCAACAAUCAAACUCAUGAAUCAAGACUUGGUGCAAUUAGAUCGGUUCGAUGAAAUGAACUACACUCGAUGGAAAGACAAAUUGAAGUUUCUUCUCACUACACUAAAGAUCUUCUACAUCCUAGAUCCGGAAUUGGUGCCACUACUGGAACCAACAAAUGGAGAAACCAAAGCAAUCAGGAAUGAAAGACAAAAGCGCCAAGAAGAUGAGUUAAUAUGCCACAGUCACAUUCUCAACGCAUUAUCGGAUCGUUUGUAUGACUUAUAUACAAACACAGCAUUAGCAAAGGAAAUUUGGGAUGUGCUUGAAAAUAGAGUUAAUUAUUUCAUUAGCCACUGUACUUUACUCAUCGUCAAGGAUUAGUAACUCAACUUAAAGAUGCUUCCCAAUGGUCAUUGAACUUACUUCCGUUUCAUUAAAAUGGCCACUGGAUGGAUUUCGAUCNGAUUGGAGGCCAAAUCCCAAAGUUGAUUACAAACCCGAUGGCAACAAACCAACUACUUGGAAUAAGCAGUAUGAGGAGAAGAAGAGGAGUAAUUUUACACCUCGAGGUUGCUUUAUUUGCAAAGGACCACAUCGAAUGAGGGAUUGUCCUAAGUUGGGAUUAUUGUCAUCUAUUUCCAUUUCGGAGAGCAAAUCGGAGGCCAUAGAUAGCCAAGAUGAGGAUGAAGUUCGAAUGAAUUCAUUCCAGUUGUUUAAUGCUAUGAGUGCUGAAACUGUUUCUGUGGGGAUGGAAACACAACAACUGUCAGGGAUGCAGUUAGCGAAAGUCCUUGAAGGUGAUAAGGACAUGCUCGCGGAGUUGCCGAGGGAACUACCGAGAAAGGAGAAAAUUGAGGAAGCAUUGUCAAAGAAAUCCGAAAUUGGGUGCACGAAGGUUCAAAGCUUCGAUAAGUGUGGGGACACUACAACCGGAGGAGUUGUCCAUCCGAGGAACCAAGGCAGAGGUGCUGAGGGUGAAGGUUGGUGUCGAAGGUGGCAUGCAAGAGGUUGCAACGGGAAGAGGUGCAAGGGGCACUGUGGAAACCUGGUCAUCGAGGAGAUGGUGCCACAAGUUGGGAGAACUUUGAUGCCUAUGGACAGGAAAGACAAUGCAAGGUUGCAUGAGGAUGCACCGAACAUGUUUCGCUACGAGGGCGUUAGCGAAUUGAGUGGGGGAGAAUGUCACGGAUCGCAAGGUCAUGACUUGAAACUUGGCAUGACAUGGGAAUGUCAUGGCACAAGUUGGGAAAAUGAGAUAGACUUAUGGAAAAUAAGGUCUAUGCUUCGGCGAUAUAUGGCGAUGAGUGCGUCGCCAAAUUCAGUGGGGGAGUGAUUUACACCUCACGCGGUCGUGACCGAUUCGUCCCGGUAGCGAUUGCAAGAUAGCGCGGGUAACGCGUUUCAGAAGGACGAAGCAUCUUGCUAUAGGGGAUGCAAUCAGAUUUGGUAAAGGUCGCAGGUAGAUUCGGGCUGGGGAUGCAUAGAUGAUUUUGGGGCAGAAUGCAGGCUGCCUAGAUCGUGCAGUUUUCCAGGGCGUUAAUGGGGUUUUUCUAAGUUCCGACCCAGCCAUUUUGGGAGGAAAAAUAUAUGGACCUGCAGCCGGAUAUUUUGAGGAUGCAAGUGGGCAACUUGCACAACUUGUCCACUUGUGUGCCACUUGCAAGCUAAGCACGAGUCGUAUGCAAGCUAAGCACGAGUUGGCAAGGAUAAAUAUCAACGGUGCAAGCUAGGCGCGAGUUGUACGCAAGCUAAGCACGAGUUGACGACAACUUGCAAGGCAAGUUGUAAUACCAUCCACUUGAAGACAACUAAGGAUGAGUUGGUGACAACCAAGCACGAGGUGGCGACAACUAAGCGCAAGUUGUAAAGUGGAAGGGAAAGGAGGUUUAAGUUUUCUAUAAAUAGAGAGGUAGUCUCAUUUGUAAAUGGUAUGGAGUAGAGGUUAGAGAGUGUAGAGAAUAUGUAGAGAGGAGUGAGUUUAUUCUUUCAAGAGAGAUUGUAAAGUUUUUCCUUUCAUUUAUAUAAAGAAAGUUUCCCCAUCUAUACUUGUUUUCCAUAUAUUACUUACUUCAAAAUUCUCUUCUCAACGUGGGUAUAAUUUAGCCUCAUUGGUUAAAUUAUUUGUGGGCGUGGAAAGGCUGACUUAACGUUUUCUCGUGAGGUGCGAGAAUUGUAGAACGUUAAGGCCGCACGGUUCUAGUUUGUUCGGGUGUAACGAAACUAGGCCCGUGACAGACGUGAUCCUUAUAAAACAAGUUUGAAGAGAAAGUAGUAGACCAAACUUAUCACAUGGCCAAGUAUAGUUGCAAAGAAUCAAUUUCGUUGGAUGUUUUAGCAGAUGUAAGAUUUACAUUCUUGUUAAUAUAUAUUUACAUCUUUUUUAAGGGCGUGGGAGGAGGGUUCGAGUUAAAGUGUAGGGUGUAUACGGUGAAUAGUGUACUACCUGUGCAUUGUAGUACAUUAAAUUUGUUCUUCUAAUAAAAUCCACCAUGCUUUUGAGUUUGGGAUGUUGCCAGUUAUCUCUGAUAAUGUCAUUGAUUAGCUGUUAGUUUUCUGCAAUCCUUUUCUGUUUCUUUUAGAUCUAUUCAUUUUAUUUUAGUAAUGUUUUACCCUGCAAUUAGAAUUAUGAAAGAAUCAAUGACUAAUUUCAAAUUCUUUUUUCCAUGAUCUGGAGUUCCAAAUAGCUAUCGACAAAAUUGUUAUUCCGAAUUUUCACUGACAGUUUUAAUUGUUGUUGCUAUGCUAGGCUUCUCUCUGCCAUGGAUGACAUUUUCUGUUUGUUCCAAGGGAAUAUUGAGAAGAUAGCUCCCCUGAAGCAGCAAUAUGGGGUAGACAAUGACUGCUAACGAAGUUAGCGUUGCAAUAGAGGCUUACUGAACCCUACGGGACAGAGAUCCUUAUCCUAGUGACCAUGUUGUGUGAGACAUCAAUGGAAAGUUUGCACUCGUACUGUAUGACAGAACCUCCAGGUCUAUUAGCUGCUGGGGUGUGUUCUUUGGCUUGAUUCUUAUUGUCAUUGGUAGGAAAAUUUUGAUUAAGACCAUAAUUAUCAAAGCCGCUGUCAUUUGGGAUCUUCAAAACUUGGUCUUAUCUUGUAUGUGCUGGAAGCAUUUAUACAUCCAUGAUGGUGCAGAUGGAUUCUAACAAUAAUCUUGUUACCUCUGAUGAUGAAGUGUUUGUGCAGAAGGCAUGUGGGAAAUCCUUCGCACCAUUUCCAAAAGAUACAAAACGUUAAAGAGAAACGUGAUGCUAAACUUAGCAGUUUAUCAUCCCUGCAAAAUAGAUAUUUGCACUUAAUCCCUCCAAUAACUGUCUUUCUAGAUCAGACCAUGUGGUUUACCAGACCUAUUACGAGUUUAGGGCAGGUCGGUGGUGCUAUUUUCAUCCAGAAAGGAACCUGGAAUUCCUAGAGUUGGGAGUGCUUCAAAUUGGUCGUCUCAUUCUCAAUAUUGAUAGAAAACAUUUUCUGAGGUGGAAAGGUUCUAUUUUCUGGAUAGUUCCUUAUAUUUCUCCUGUUGUUCUAUUACUUUAUUGAUAUUAUCAUGCAGUAUAACUGUGACUAGAAAGACGGAUGCAAGUUUAUGAAUAUAGCAUGCAUAUUGUUUCACAUCAGUUGUACUAUUGAAUGAACAGCAAUGCUUUUCAU